GAUGAACGCUGGCGGCGUGCCUAAUACAUGCAAGUCGAGCGAACAGACGAGGAGCUUGCUCCUCUGACGUUAGCGGCGGACGGGCGAGUAACACGUGGAUAACCUACCUAUAAGACUGGGAUAACUUCGGGAAACCGGAGCUAAUACCGGAUAAUAUAUUGAACCGCAUGGUUCAAUAGUGAAAGACGGUUUUGCUGUCACUUAUAGAUGGAUCCGCGCCGCAUUAGCUAGUUGGUAAGGUAACAGCUUACCAAGGCAACGAUGCGUAGCCGACCUGAGAGGGUGAUCGGCCACACUGGAACUGAGACACGGUCCAGACUCCUACGGGAGGCAGCAGUAGGGAAUCUUCCGCAAUGGGCGAAAGCCUGACGGAGCAACGCCGCGUGAGUGAUGAAGGUCUUCGGAUCGUAAAACUCUGUUAUUAGGGAAGAACAAAUGUGUAAGUAACUAUGCACGUCUUGACGGUACCUAAUCAGAAAGCCACGGCUAACUACGUG
rnacentral:rRNA from 1 species